rnacentral:rRNA from 1 species
GUUCUGUCUUCGGCCGAGGGGGGAUUCUGCCUACACGGUAUGAGUCUCGUUCCCUUUGGGUGUGCGGUGUCAAAGCCGUGCACUCUUAACGGUCGGACAAGUCCGUCGGAGUGUGGUUAUUGUUGGAAGGGCAACCGACCAAUGAGGCCACCGUAAUCGUUCGGGGUGCCUUUAAUCGGGUGUCUCGGGCGGCCGACAUAGUUUACUUUGAACAAAUUAGAGUGCUCAAAGCAGGUGACUACCGCCUGAAUAGUACAGCAUGGAAUGAUGAAAGAGGACCUCGGUCUGAUUUUGCUGGUCUUUAACGGUCGGGCUUCGGCCCGGCCUAUGCAGACCCGAGGUAAUGGUCAAUAGAGACGGACGGGGGCAUCCGUACUGCGGCGACAGAGGUGAAAUUCUUGGACCGCCGCAAGACGAACGACAGCGAAGGCAUUUGCCAAGAAUGUUUUCCUUGAUCAAGAACGAAAGUUAGAGGUUCGAAGGCGAUCAGAUACCGCCCUAGUUCUAACCAUAAACGAUGCCAACUAGCGAUCCGCCGGUGUUACUCCCAUGACUCGGCGGGCAGCUUCCGGGAAACCAAAGUCUUUGGGUUCCGGGGGAAGUAUGGUUGCAAAGCUGAAACUUAAAGGAAUUGACGGAAGGGCACCACCAGGAGUGGAGCCUGCGGCUUAAUUUGACCCAACACGGGAAACCUCACCAGGCCCGGACACUGGAAGGAUUGACAGAUUGAGAGCUCUUUCUUGAUUCGGUGGGUGGUGGUGCAUGGCCGUUCUUAGUUGGUGGAGCGAUUUGUCUGGUUAAUUCCGAUAACGAACGAGACUCUAGCCUGCUAAAUAGGUGCCGGGUUUUUACAUCUCCUCGCAAGGGGAGAGUGGAGUGUGUGGUUGUCGGGAUCCUGGGCUGUGGUGGUCGUUUAGGCUGCGGGGGGCAACUCUCGUGGUCUGGGCGGCUGUCAUAGUUCACCCGGUGUACGCACACUUCGCGUCCGGCAUUUUUCUUCUUAGAGGGACAAGCGGCGUCCAGCCGCGUGACAGUGAGCAAUAACAGGUCUGUGAUGCCCUUAGAUGUCCUGGGCCGCACGCGCGCUACACUGAAGGAAUCAGCGUGUUAUUCAUCCCUGUCUGAAAAGACCGGGCAACCGCUGAACCUCCUUCGUGGUUGGGAUUGGGGACUGCAAUGAUCCCCAUGAACCAGGAAUCCCUAGUAGGCGCGGGUCACUAGCCCGCGUCGAUUACGUCCCUGCCCUUUGUACACACCGCCCGUCGCUACUACCGAUUGAAUGAUUUAGUGAGAACUUCAGACGGCUAUGUUUGUCCGGGGCAACCCGCGCCGAGCAGGGCUGAAAGAUGUUCAAACUUGAUCCUUUAGAGGAAGUAAAAGUCGUAACAAGGUU